rnacentral:sRNA from 1 species
GCAUAUCAAUAAGCGGAGGAAAAGAAACCAACAGGGAUUGCCUCAGUAACGGCGAGUGAAGCGGCAACAGCUCAAAUUUGAAAUCUGGCCGCAAGGUCCGAGUUGUAAUUUGUAGAGGAUGCUUUUGGCGAGGUGCCUUCCGAGUUCCCUGGAACGGGACGCCAUAGAGGGUGAGAGCCCCGUACGGUCGUGCCACCGAGCCUCUGUAAAGCUCCUUCGACGAGUCGAGUAGUUUGGGAAUGCUGCUCUAAAUGGGAGGUGUACGUCUUCUAAAGCUAAAUACCGGCCAGAGACCGAUAGCGCACAAGUAGAGUGAUCGAAAGAUGAAAAGCACUUUGAAAAGAGGGUUAAAAAGUACGUGAAAUUGUUGAAAGGGAAGCAUUCAUGACCAGACUUGGGCUUGGUUGAACAUCCGGCGUUCUCGCCGGUGCACUCUGCCAGCUCAGGCCAGCAUCAGUUUGCCCCGGGGGAUAAAGGCGGCGGGAAUGUGGCUCCCCUCGGGGAGUGUUAUAGCCCGUCGUGUAAUGCCCUGGGGCGGACUGAGG